CAGUGAUUCUGUUCUCUACAGUGAAUCUCUGAUGAUCUGACUCACCCUAAAGGCACAACUAUCCAAAAAUUAAGAACUGCGUGUUUUAACAAAGCUGCCUUUCAAGCUAUUUCUGCAAAAGCCAUUUCAAUUCUUCGCCAUGCGCUCACAGCAUCUGAGUUCUUUAGAAGUUUGCUAACUUUACCAGCGAGGCAGAAGUUCAAGCAACCCCUACUGGGAACAAAUGCAGCAAGCAACAAGGGAGUCCUCGCUGCAAAGACUUGCCCACAGGAAGGAAAAGCGGUGGGCCCACCUUGCCCUGAUGGAGCACAUUGGCUGACACAAACAAGGGUUGACCUUUGUACAAGACGCCUCGAAAACUCACAUCCUUUGGGCUUCGUGGAGCGUGACUGUAGCUUCAGAUCCCUACAAUGGUUCAUUUGUAGGCCAAGAAUUAGAUC